UCCCCCCAUCAGUAUUUCUGGGCAAGCAAUGUCAUUUGAAAACCAUUAGUAACCCUUUUUUUUCGAUAGUUCUGGUCACCAAAUUAUGGAUAACAACUCGCUUUUAACUUUCAUUGUGGGCUGUAUCGUGGGUUAUUUGAUAGGCAAGAACUACUCUAAUUAGUAUACUAAAUCAAAAAAUGGAUGGCGAUUGGCUGCUUACAUUUCUAGUUGGCUGUUUGGUGGGAUAUUUGAUAGCCAAGAAUACCUAGAGGAUAUUGCCUAAGAAUGGAUGCGGAGUUUGCAGUAACAUUUCUGGUUGGCUGCUUUAUAGGAUUCUUAGUGGCAAGAAACACCUAGGGAAUAUAGAUAUGGAUGCAGACUUUGUACGUAUAUUCCUUAUUGGCUGCUUGGUGGGAUUUCUUGGCCAAAAAUGUCUAGACCAAGAAAUAUCUAAGAAGCAAAAUGAACCACGCAGCGAUUAUUUGACUGAUGAUCUGCCGUUGCUGAGUAGCCCUAUUUCCAGACCAACCUAAACAAAAUUUAGAAAGAUAAAUGUAUAAAUAAACAAAUUUCACAUAAACUA